AUCCUAGAAAAAUGUAUCUACUGACUUCAGGACCCCUAUGAGACAUGUGCCAUCUAAGGGGUUUUAGCGUUGGAGUACAUUUUGAUAUUUAAAGUUUUUCUGAACAUGUUAUAGUUUAAAUUAGCACCUCUGAGUUUAUCAUUCAUAAAUGAUAAAUGUUCCAUAAUGAAUAACUUAAUCCAAUAAUAAGAAUUACGAGUGCUUAAAUGUCCACAGUCUAGUUGAAAAUCCUUGCAGUGGGCCCAGGAGAAAUAUCACAAAUUAUAUUUAAGGAUGUGAGGCCUGUUAGGGCCUUGGAACAGGGGAAAAGCAUUAGCAGGAAUGUUCAUGUACUCGAGUUUCUCAUGAUCUAGAACUUCUAAUUUUCUUUGUCUUUCUCUUCUUUGCUCCCUCUCUCUUCCUCCCCUUCAUCCUUUGUACUCUCAUCUGUCCCCCUCCUUUUCCUCUCUCCUCUCCACUUCUCGCUGGCAGCUACUGCCUUGACAGAGUUUUCCCCCUCCCUUAACCCGGACACUCAUCUGCCAUACACCUACCAGGAAAGAUCUAAGAUAUCAUCACUAACAGAAAAUACUGUAAUGAGAAUGCAUGUGACUGCUGAUAUUUUCAGAUCACCUCCUUAAUACAUAAAGAGCAAAAUAUAUCUGUUUAUACUUGUGUUAGCAGAGAGAAUUGUUAGCAUGGAAAAUUCUUUGUUAUCAGUGUCACAUGGCAAAAUGACUGUGAAAAACUAAUACUCCUGUUACUGUGGGUGAAGGUCUUAGAUAAUGAGAGAUGCUUGACAUGUGAGCAGAGAGCAGAGUAUGGGGAAGCAGUUUGAAAGAGGAGAUUGGGCAUCAAAAGGGCCAGAUCUCAUAGUUACCUAGUCGGCUUUAUUACCAAUAUUACACUAUGUGUGAGAGGAAACUGUAUUCAUAAUUAUGCACAACAAAAAUAAUCUGCAGUUCAGACCUCCUGGGCUCCUUGUGUGUGUGUGUGUGUUCCUUCCUUGAUUACACAUUUCUUUUUAGCUGAAGAAUCGCUUUGUUAGAUUUCAGUAUGCACAUUUUAUAC
rnacentral:lncRNA from 1 species